GGGCGUGUAGCUCAGUGGUAGAGCGCCCGCUUUGCAUUCACAUGUGCGGGAGGCCCAGGGUUCGACUCCCUGCUCGUCCA